rnacentral:rRNA from 1 species
AAUAAGCCCGGCUACUAUGUGCCAGCAGCCGCGGUAAGACAUAGGGGGCGAGCGUUAUCCGGAAUUAUUGGGCGUAAAGGGUGCGUAGGCGGUUAGGAAAGUCUAUAAUUUAAUUUCAGUGCUUAACGCUGUCUUGUUAUAGAAACUACCUUGACUAGAGUUAGAUAGAGGCAAGCGGAAUUCCAUGUGUAGCGGUAAAAUGUGUAAAUAUAUGGAGGAACACCAGAAGCGUAGGCGGCUUGCUGGGUCUUGACUGACGCUGAGGCACGAAAGCGUGGGUAGCAAACAGGAUUAGAUACCCUGGUAGUCCACGCCGUAAACGAUGAGUACUAAGUGUCGGGAUAAAACUCGGUACUGAAGUUAACACAUUAAGUACUCCGCCUGAGUAGUACGUACGCAAGUAUGAAACUUAAAGGAAUUGACGGGACUCCGCACAAGCGGUGGAUCAUGUUGUUUAAUUCGAAGAUACACGAAAAAUCUUACCAGGUCUUGACAUGCUCUGCAAAGCUAUAGGAAA